GGGCCCGCACAAGCGGCGGAGCAUGCGGAUUAAUUCGAUGCAACGCGAAGAACCUUACCAAGGCUUGACAUAUAGAGGAAACGUCUGGAAACAGUCGCCCCGCAAGGUCUCUAUACAGGUGGUGCAUGGUUGUCGUCAGCUCGUGUCGUGAGAUGUUGGGUUAAGUCCCGCAACGAGCGCAACCCUCGUCCUAUGUUGCCAGCACGUAAUGGUGGGAACUCAUGGGAGACUGCCGGGGUCAACUCGGAGGAAGGUGGGGAUGACGUCAAAUCAUCAUGCCCCUUAUGUCUUGGGCUUCACGCAUGCUACAAUGGCCGGUACAAAGGGCUGCAAUACCGUAAGGUGGAGCGAAUCCCAAAAAGCCGGUCUCAGUUCGGAUUGAGGUCUGCAACUCGACCUCAUGAAGUUGGAGUCGCUAGUAAUCGUGGAUCAGCAACGCCACGGUGAAUACGUUCCCGGGCCUUGUACACACCGCCCGUCAAGUCAUGAAAGUCGGUAACACCCGAAGCCAGUGGCCCAACCGCAAGGAGGGAGCUGUCGAAGGUGGGAUCGGUGAUUAGGACUAAGUCGUAACAAGGUAACCGU
rnacentral:rRNA from 1 species